rnacentral:rRNA from 1 species
UUCCUACGGGUGGCAGCAGUGGGGAAUAUUGGGCAAUGGGGGAAACCCUGACCCAGCAACGCCGCGUGAAGGAAGAAGGCCUUCGGGUUGUAAACUUCUUUGAUCAGGGAAGAAACAAAUGACGGUACCUGAAAAACAAGCCACGGCUAACUACGUGCCAGCAGCCGCGGUAAUACGUAGGUGGCAAGCGUUAUCCGGAUUUACUGGGUGUAAAGGGCGUGUAGGCGGUCUCAUAAGUCAGAUGUGAAAUUCCCGGGCUUAACCCGGGCGCUGCAUCUGAAACUGUGGGACUUGAGUACUGGAGAGGAUAGUGGAAUUCCUAGUGUAGCGGUAAAAUGCGUAGAUAUUAGGAGGAACACCGGUGGCGAAGGCGACUAUCUGGACAGUAACUGACGCUGAGGCGCGAAAGCGUGGGGAGCAAACAGGAUUAGAUACCCCAGUAGUCGU